GACGAACGCUGGCGGCGUGCCUAAUACAUGCAAGUUGAGCGAUGAAGCUUGGUGCUUGCACCAAUUUGAAGAGCAGCGAACGGGUGAGUAACGCGUGGGGAAUCUGCCUUUGAGCGGGGGACAACAUUUGGAAACGAAUGCUAAUACCGCAUAACAACUUUAACUAUAAGUUUUAAGUUUGAAAGAUGCAAUUGCAUCACUCAAAGAUGAUCCCGCGUUUUAUUAGCUAGUUGGUGGGGUAAGGGGUCACCAAGGCGAUGAUAGAUAGCCGGCCGGAGAGGGGGGACGGCCGACUUGGGACUGGGGAACGGCCCAAGCCCCUACGGGCGGCAGCAGUAGGGAAUCUUCAGCAAUGGACGAAAGUCUGACCGAGCAACGCGGCGUGAGUGAAGAAGGUUUUCGGCUCGUAAAACUCUGUUGGUAGAGAAGAACGUUGGAGAGAGUUGAAAGCUAAGCAAGUGACGGUAACUGUACAGAAAGCGACGGCUAACUACGUG
rnacentral:rRNA from 1 species